rnacentral:rRNA from 1 species
UACGGAGGUGCAAGCGUUAUCCGGAUUCAUUGGGUUUAAAGGGAGCGUAGGUGGCCUUAUAAGUCAGUGGUGAAAUCUUCGAGCUUAACUCGGAAAUUGCCAUUGAUACUGUGAGGCUUGAGUAUAGUUCCGUUGGCGGAAUAUGACAUGUAGUGGUGAAAUACAUAGAGAUGUCAUAGAACACCGAUUGCGAAGGCAGCUGACGAAACUAUAACUGACACUGAGGCUCGAAAGUGCGGGGAUCAAACAGG